UAUACUUCUCUAAUUACUGCAUUUGCGCGUAAUGGGAGGUAUAGGGACGCGGUUAUGGUUUACAAGAAAAUGGAGGAGGAAGGGUGCCAACCUACUUUAAUUACUUACAAUGUGAUUUUGAAUGUUUAUGGGAAAAUGGGUAUGCCUUGGAGUAGAAUUUCAGCUGUGUUUGAAGGUAUGAAGAACUCUGGAGUUGUUCCUGAUGCUUAUACCUAUAAUACUCUUAUUACUUGUUGUCGUCGGGGAUCAUUGUAUGAGGAAGCUAGGCAGAUUUUNGAUUUGAUCUAUGAUAUUUUAAUUUUUAAAUAUGUUAAAUCAAACAAAUUGAGAAAGUAUUUUUUAUCGAUUUUUGAUCCUUAAUGGUUUGAUUUUCGAUUUAUCCAUUAAAAAAAACUCAUAAAAUAAAUAUAUGAUUUCUCUAAUAAGUUGACGUGAUACAAUGAAAAAUGUGAUAUGCUGAAACAAGUAAAUCAAUUAUAAAUGAUAGAAUGCUAUUGGAAAUUAGAACGAGACAAAUAAGAAAUUAUAAAAGUGAUGAACAUAUAUAUUUGUCUAGAAGAGAACAAAAUAUUUAUUGAGCAUCAAUAAACUCUUAUUUUAACCAAUAACCUAAUACUAAAAUUGAAAUCAAACUGAUAAUUCAAUAUUUUUUUUCAAAAUCAUACAUAACUCAUUAACCUAAUAAUUUAAUAAUAUUUUUUUAAUUUAUCCAUCCAUUUAAUUUUUCCACAUAAUACUCCAUCCUCAAACCGCGAAUUCUUUUGAGAAUGUAGGUUCCCCCUUAGGUGUUGAGUUGAAAUGGGUGACAGUUGAAAUUCACCAAAACAGAGAAGUAGAAUAAUUAAUUAAUUAAUAAAUAAAUAAGAAAAUAUCUUAGGAACAAAAAAUAACUGGCCACCAUGAAAACUAUAAUGAUGAAAGUAUUACCAAAUACAAACAAGAUAGGAGUGUUUCGUUAUUGCUUGAGGAUUACUAGCAGAAAGCUUUGACACUGUGUUAAUGGCGGACAAAUUAGGUCUUCCUCUUCUAUUACCAAAUCCUCCACCUUCAAAAUCCAUCUUUCAAGACUUCACUGUUUCCUCUAAUCAACCUUUAGCUCCAUUCUUAAAUGACCUCUUUCACCAUCAAAAUUCUCCUAACUUCACUUCUACUUCCACUCAAUCCGUUAAUUUGCCUUCUCCAAUUCCCAGAACUCGGCGGCGUAUUAUUGGCAAGGAUAAUGAUUCCAACAGAGGCAAACCAUGGAAUCCUCUUCGUCUUUCCCCUCAAGGUGAGAAAAUCCUCCAAACCCUAAUCCACCCAGAAUUUCAACCCGAAAAUAUUCACCAAAUUUUGCUUAGUUUGUAUACUGUGCAUCGUUUAGAAGGUUCUGAAUUGGAUAUAGAGUCCUUGAGUUCUGAUAUUUUGGGUAUUAUAAAGGGUUUAGGGUAUUACAAAAAAUGUGACUUAGCGUUGAAUGUGUUUGAAUGGGUGAGAAAUCGACCUAAUUCUGGGGUUUUGCUAAAUGGGUCUGUAAUUGCUGUGGUUAUAAGCAUGCUUGGCAAAGAGGGGAGGAUUUCGGCAGCUUCAUCGUUGCUUCACAAUUUGCAUAAAGAUGGUUUUUGUAUUGAUGUUUAUGGAUAUACUUCUCUAAUUACUGCAUUUGCGCGUAAUGGGAGGUAUAGGGACGCGGUUAUGGUUUACAAGAAAAUGGAGGAGGAAGGGUGCCAACCUACUUUAAUUACUUACAAUGUGAUUUUGAAUGUUUAUGGGAAAAUGGGUAUGCCUUGGAGUAGAAUUUCAGCUGUGUUUGAAGGUAUGAAGAACUCUGGAGUUGUUCCUGAUGCUUAU
rnacentral:lncRNA from 1 species